rnacentral:rRNA from 1 species
CUACCCGGGUAUCUAAUCCUGUUUGCUACCCACGCUUUCACGCCUCAGCGUCAGUUAGGUUCCAGCAGAUCGCUUUCGCAAUGGGUAUUCUUCUUGAUCUCUACGGAUUUUACCCCUACACCAAGAAUUCCAUCUACCUCUCCCCUACUCUAGACUAUCAGUUUCCUAAGCAGUUUAGUGGUUAAGCCACUAGAUUUCACAAAAGACUUGAUAAUCCGCCUACGCGUCCUUUACGCCCAGUGAUUCCGAGUAACGCUUGCACCCCCCGUAUUACCGCGGCUGCUGGCAC